UACAGAGGUCCCAAGCGUUGUUCGGAUUCAUUGGGCGUAAAGGGUGCGUAGGCGGUUUGUUGCGUCGGCUGUGAAAUCCCGAGGCUCAACCUCGGAUCUGCAGUCGAUACGAGCAAACUAGAGUGUUGCAGGGGAGACUGGAAUUCCUGGUGUAGCGGUGAAAUGCGCAGAUAUCAGGAGGAACACCGGUGGCGAAGGCGGGUCUCUGGGCAACAACUGACGCUGAGGAGCGAAAGCGUGGGGAGCGAACAGG
rnacentral:rRNA from 1 species